UACGGGGGCAGCGAGCGUUGUUCGGAAUUACUGGGCGUAAAGGGCGCGUAGGCGGCUCUUCAAGUCAGCCGUGAAAUCUCCAGGCUUAACCUGGAAGGGUCGGUUGAUACUGUCGAGCUAGAGUCCGGAAGAGGAGAGUGGAAUUCCUGGUGUAGCGGUGAAAUGCGCAGAUAUCAGGAAGAACACCGAUGGCGAAGGCAGGUCUCUGGGCCACUACUGACGCUGAGAAGCGAAAGCAUGGGGAGCGAACAGG
rnacentral:rRNA from 1 species